AUGGAUUGGAACCCAAAAGUGCUUUGCUGGAACGUGAGGGGGCUUAACAACCCCGCUAAGAGGAAUGCAGUUAGGGAGUUUGUGGUAGCGGCCAAGGUCCAUCUUGUAUGUCUCCAAGAGACAAAACUUGAUGCUUUUGAUCCCUACUUGGUAAUGCAAUCCAUAGGGCCAUCGUUUGAUGGCUUUGCCUACUUACCUGCUUUAGAAACUAGGGGUGGCAUUCUCUUGGGCUGGGAUAGCUCUUAUUUGGUGAUCUCCAACAUCACUGGGUAUACUAACUUUCUCUCGGGCUUGGUCCGGAAUAAAGAUGGCUCGGAAUGGUGGUUGUCGGUGGUGUACGGACCCCAAGGGGAUGAACUGACGACUCAAUUUCUAGUGGAACUUCAGCAUAGAAGGGACAUGUCCCCGGGCCCAUGGAUGGCGCUAGGAGACUUUAACUUGAACAUUAGAGCUGAGCAGAAGAGCAACUCGAACCUCAACAGGGGCAUGAGGAGGAUGUUUAAGGCGUUCGUGGACGACAAUGAGCUCAAGGAGAUCUACAUGCACGGUAGACGUUUCACUUGGUCCAAUGAAAGGGAGCAGGUGGUUAUGACCAAGAUCGAUUGA
rnacentral:rRNA from 1 species